rnacentral:sRNA from 1 species
CAGCUGGAAAUGAUAUAUUGAAAAGGAUCAAUGAUCCGUGUUGCCAAGUCCAAUUCGCCUCAAAGCCCCGCCCCGCUCCAGGGCUUGGGGAGGCUGGCCCAGUCCCCAUUUUUGGCAAAAGAGAGAGGGGCAGCAUUGAGCACAGUGUCUUUCCCCAGCUGCAUGUUUUGUCUUCAGUGGCCUGGGGAUGGUCCCAAUAGCUCUGGGAACCCUGAGGUGGCAGGCCUGCUUCUAACUCCAUCUUCUUUCUGUCACUGCGCCCCCUCCACCCCUCCCCUCAGCGAUUUGCAUAACCAAAUGAUCAAGAGCAUCAAAGGAUUGCCCUGGCAGGGCGAGGACCCCCGUAGCCUUCUGCAGUCCCUCAGUCGGCUCCAGAAACCCCGCGCCUUCAUCCUGAAAAGUAAAGGUAUCAAACAAAAGCAGAUCAUUCCAAAGAACCUACUGGACUCCAAGUCCCUGAAACUCAUCAUCAGCAUGACCCUGCACGACCGCACCACCAAGUCCCUACUGCACCUGCACAAGAAGAAAAAGCCACCAAGCAUCAGCGCCCAGUUCCAGACAUCCCUUAACAAGCUCUUGGAGGCGCUGGGGAAGGCGGAGCCCUUCUUUAUCCGCUGCAUCCGUUCCAAUGCUGAAAAGAAAGA